rnacentral:rRNA from 1 species
CCCUUAGAUGUUCGGGGCCGCACGCGCGCUACACUGAAGGACUCAGCGUGUCUCUCCCCCUAUCCCGAAAGGGAUGGGCAACCCGUUGAACCUCCUUCGUGCUAGGGAUUGGGUUUGCAAUUAUCCCCCAUGAACGAGGAAUUCCCAGUAAGCGCGAGUCAUCAGCUCGCGUUGAUUACGUCCCUGCCCUUUGUACACACCGCCCGUCGCUACUACCGAUUGGAUGGUUUAGUGAGACCCUCGGAUCGGUCCCGACUCGGGGUGGGCUUCUGCCCCGGUCGUGGUUUCGCCGAGAAGACGGUCAAACUUGACUAUCUAGAGGAAGUAAAAGUCGUAACA